GAUGAACGCUGGCGGCGUGCCUAAUACAUGCAAGUCGAGCGAACAGACGAGGAGCUUGCUCCUUUGACGUUAGCGGCGGACGGGUGAGUAACACGUGGGUAACCUACCUAUAAGACUGGGAUAACUUCGGGAAACCGGAGCUAAUACCGGAUAAUAUUUCGAACCGCAUGGUUCGAUAGUGAAAGAUGGCUUUGCUAUCACUUAUAGAUGGACCUGCGCCGUAUUAGCUAGUUGGUAAGGUAACGGCUUACCAAGGCAACGAUACGUAGCCGACCUGAGAGGGUGAUCGGCCACACUGGAACUGAGACACGGUCCAGACUCCUACGGGAGGCAGCAGUAGGGAAUCUUCCGCAAUGGGCGAAAGCCUGACGGAGCAACGCCGCGUGAGUGAUGAAGGUCUUCGGAUCGUAAAACUCUGUUAUUAGGGAAGAACAAACGUGUAAGUAACUGUACACGUCUUGACGGUACCUAAUCAGAAAGCCACGGCUAACUACGUGCCAGCAGCCGCGGUAAUACGUAGGUGGCAAGCGUUAUCCGGAAUUAUUGGGCGUAAAGCGCGCGUAGGCGGUUUUUUAAGUCUGAUGUGAAAGCCCACGGCUCAACCGUGGAGGGUCAUUGGAAACUGGAAAACUUGAGUGCAGAAGAGGAAAGUGGAAUUCCAUGUGUAGCGGUGAAAUGCGCAGAGAUAUGGAGGAACACCAGUGGCGAAGGCGACUUUCUGGUCUGUAACUGACGCUGAUGUGCGAAAGCGUGGGGAUCAAACAGGAUUAGAUACCCUGGUAGUCCACGCCGUAAACGAUGAGUGCUAAGUGUUAGGGGGUUUCCGCCCCUUAGUGCUGCAGCUAACGCAUUAAGCACUCCGCCUGGGGAAUACGACCGCAAGGUUGAAACUCAAAGGAAUUGACGGGGACCCGCACAAGCGGUGGAGCAUGUGGUUUAAUUCGAAGCAACGCGAAGAACCUUACCAAAUCUUGACAUCCUUUGACAACUCUAGAGAUAGAGCCUUCCCCUUCGGGGGACAAAGUGACAGGUGGUGCAUGGUUGUCGUCAGCUCGUGUCGUGAGAUGUUGGGUUAAGUCCCGCAACGAGCGCAACCCUUAAGCUUAGUUGCCAUCAUUAAGUUGGGCACUCUAAGUUGACUGCCGGUGACAAACCGGAGGAAGGUGGGGAUGACGUCAAAUCAUCAUGCCCCUUAUGAUUUGGGCUACACACGUGCUACAAUGGACAAUACAAAGGGCAGCGAAACCGCGAGGCCAAGCAAAUCCCAUAAAGUUGUUCUCAGUUCGGAUUGUAGUCUGCAACUCGACUACAUGAAGCUGGAAUCGCUAGUAAUCGUAGAUCAGCAUGCUACGGUGAAUACGUUCCCGGGUCUUGUACACACCGCCCGUCACACCACGAGAGUUUGUAACACCCGAAGCCGGUGGAGUAACCUUUUAGGAGCUAGCCGUCGAAGGUGGGACAAAUGAUUGGGGUGAAGUCGUAACAAGGUAGCCGUAUCGGAAGG
rnacentral:rRNA from 1 species